UCUCCGUAGGUGAACCUGCGGAGGGAUCAUUACAGAGUUCCCGCCCUCGCGGGUAGAUCUCCCACCCACUGUUAUCGUUACUGUGUUGCUUUGGCGGGCCGCCGGGCCCCGCUCGGCCGCCGGCCCCGGCUGGCGCGCGCCCGCCAGAGGCCCAGCAAACUCUGAAUGUUAGUGUCGUCUGAGUACUAUAUAAUAGUUAAAACUUUCAACAGCGGAUCUCUUGGUUCUG
rnacentral:misc_RNA from 1 species